ACCGAGCAACGCCGCGUGAGUGAGGUAAGGCCUUCGGGUCGUAAAGCUCUGUUGUUAGGGAAGAACAAGUACCGUUCGAACAGGGCGGUACCUUGACGGUACCUAACCAGAAAGCCACGGCUAACUACGUGCCAGCAGCCGCGGUAAUACGUAGGUGGCAAGCGUUGUCCGGAAUUAUUGGACGUAAAGCGCGCGCAGGCGGUCUCUUAAGUCUGAUGUGAAAGCCCACGGCUCAACCGUGGAGGGUCAUUGGAAACUGGGGGACUUGAGUACUGGAGAGGAGAGUGGAAUUCCAUGUGUAGCGGUGAAAUGCGUAGAUAUAUGGAGGAACACCAGUGGUGAAGGCGGCUCUCUGGCCAGUAACUGACGCUGAGGCGCGAAAGCGUGGGGAGCAAACAGGAUUAGUUACCCUGGUAGUCCACGCCGUAAACGAUGAGUGCUAGGUGUUGGGGGGUUCCACCCUCAGUGCUGACGUUAACACAUUAAGCACUCCGCCUGGGGAGUACGACCGCAAGGUUG
rnacentral:rRNA from 1 species